CUCUAUGUGCUUGCGCGUGCGUGCGUUCGUGCGUGUUUUGUGAGUACUUUGCGUGUGUGCGUGCGCGCGCGCGCGCACGUGUUUUGUGAGCGCUUUGCGAGUGCGCGUGCUUGUAUGCGGGUCUCUAUGUUCUUGCGCGUGCGUUCGUGCGUGCGUGUUUUGUGAGUGCUAUGUAUGUGCGCGCGCGCGCGCGCGUACGUGUUUUGUGAAUUUUUUGCGGGGGCGCGCGUGCUUGUGUGUGUGUGUGUAUUGAAUAAAGUCGGUAGUUUUACACGCAAUAAACCUCUUCAAAAUUGGUGCAGCGGCUGUCCCCGCCCUGAAAACCGAGUUUGGUGUAGAGCCACUCUGGAAUAUAUGGAGGCGCCGGAGGACCAGUGGAAGGUGUCAUUCAGAUGACAGCCUCACAAUUCGCAGCCUUUGUGCUCUCCAUCAGAAACCCAUCAGGGGAAAGCCACUUAUGUUUGCCUUCAGACAAGACAACAUUGAAGCAAGAUUCCAGCACAGCCAUCUCCUGCACUUAUGGUCAAGAUGCUCAGACAAUGGAGUCCCUGUUCCUUGUGGUUAACCGUGAACAGUAUUCUCGCUUUUAUGAAAGCUAAAGGUGAUUUCCUGCAUAAAUUAGAAUUUUGCAGCUCAAAUGUAUACACUUUAUUCUAAUUUGAAUCAACUAAUAUAUGCUGUUUAAUACUUUUAUACUGUUUGGUAGAAUCAUUUCUUGUUGGAAAAUAUUAAGCAUGAUGUUUAACAUUUAUUUAUGCAUUACUGGCUGAUGCAUGAUGGCCUGUGUUUAAAAAAUGUGAACUCACUCAUUUGAAGCUUCAUUCAGUAACCAGAGUAUGGCUGAUUUAAUAAACAUUAUUUGCUCAUUUAUGUACAAGUCCUAAUCUUCCAUUAUCACACCAAGUACAAAUAAUUUAGAAAUUGGCAAUGUAUUAUCCGCAUGUGGCCAGUAGAGUACCUUAAUGAACAGUGGUUUGUUUUUAUAAGGCCGCCAUUGAUACGGCACUUCGCACCUAAACAGUAAUAAAUCUGGCAUAUUUAGGCUGUCUUGCAGUAGAAAAAAAAACAUUUUCAAGCAACAUAUUUUCUAACAGACCAUGCCUUGCCUUCGCAUUACAAAAUUUAA